rnacentral:rRNA from 1 species
CCCCCUUUUGUGCACCAUCGCGUGGGCUCCCUCGGGGGCUCGCGUUUUCACACAGUCACCCUUUAAUGCAGUGUAGAAUGUCUUUAUUCGAUCCUCGUGAUCGAUACAAUACAACUUUCAACAACGGAUCUCUUGGCUCUCGCAUCGAUGAAGAACGCAGCGAAAUGCGAUACGUAAUGUGAAUUGCAGAAUUCAGUGAAUCAUCGAAUCUUUGAACGCACCUUGCGCCCCUUGGCAUUCCGAGGGGUACACCCGUUUGAGUGUCGUGACAUCCUCAAAAACCCUCUUCUUGAUCUCUUGAUCGRGGAAGGCUUUUGGACUGUGGAGGUUUUUGCUGGCCUCGCUUUUGAAGCCUGCUCCUCUUAAACGAAUUAGCUGGGUCCGCUUUGCAGAUCCUCGACGCGAUAAGAUGUCUUCUGCGUCCUGGAUUUUUUGCUCUGCUCCUNCCUGCUUCUAACUCGUCUCGUCAGAGACAGCGUUCGGGCCCUUUCCCAUUCGUGGGGAGGGCUUUUGACCCUUGAACCUUUGACCUCAAAUCGGGUGAGACUACCCGCUGAACUUAAGCAUAUCAAUAAGCGGAGGAAAAGAAACUAACGAGGAUUCCCCUAGUAACUGCGAGUGAAGCGGGAAAAGCUCAAAUUUAAAAUCUGGUGGCCUUUGGUC